ACGGGAUUGGAGAGCUUGCUUUCCUGAGAGUGGCGUACGGGUGCGUAACGCGUAUGCAACCUACCUUCAUCAGGGGGAUAGCCCGAAGAAAUUCGGAUUAACACCGCAUAAAGACACAACCUGGCAUCAGGCAAUGUUCAAAUAUUUAUAGGAUGAAGAUGGGCAUGCGUGUCAUUAGCUAGUUGGUGAGGUAACGGCUCACCAAGGCGACGAUGACUAGGGGAUCUGAGAGGAUGACCCCCCACACUGGUACUGAGACACGGACCAGACUCCUACGGGAGGCAGCAGUAAGGAAUAUUGGUCAAUGGAGGCAACUCUGAACCAGCCAUGCCGCGUGCAGGAAGACAGUCCUAUGGGUCGUAAACUGCUUUUAUACGGGAAUAAACUUUGAUUCGUGAAUCAAGCUGAAUGUACCGUAAGAAUAAGGAUCGGCUAACUCCGUGCCAGCAGCCGCGGUAAUACGGAGGAUCCAAGCGUUAUCCGGAUUUAUUGGGUUUAAAGGGAGCGUAGGCGGCUUAUUAAGUCAGGGGUGAAAGACGGUGGCUCAACCAUCGCAGUGCCUUUGAUACUGAUGAGCUUGAAUGUAGUUGAGGUAGGCGGAAUGUGACAAGUAGCGGUGAAAUGCAUAGAUAUGUCACAGAACACCGAUUGCGAAGGCAGCUUACUAAGCUAUUAUUGACGCUGAGGCUCGAAAGCGUGGGGAUCAAACAGGAUUAGAUACCCUGGUAGUNNNNNNNNUAAACCAUGAUAACUCCAUGUUGGCGAUAUACAGUCCGCGUCCAAGCGAAAACCGUUAGUUAUCCCCCUGGGGAGUAC
rnacentral:rRNA from 1 species